rnacentral:rRNA from 1 species
GAUGAACGCUGGCGGCGUGCCUAACACAUGCAAGUCGAGCGAACAGACCAGGUGUUUGCGCGCCUGACGUUAGCGGCGGAGGGGAGCGUAACAUGUGGAUAACCUACCUAUCAGACUGGGAUAACAUCGGGAAACCGGAUCUAAUACCGGAUGAUAUAUUGCCCCGCAUUGUUCACUCGUUAGAUUCGGUUGUAUUAUCGGUAAUAGCUGGAUCAGAGUGGCAUUAGCUAGUUGGUAGGGUAAGAGCUUACCAAGGCGACGAUGCCUAGCCGGCCUGAGAGGAUGGGCAGAGACGCCGGGAGUAAGACACAGCACAGAAUCCUACGGGAAGGAGCAGAGGGGGAUAUUGGAAAGUGGGGGAAAGCAUGAUCCAGCAAGGCCGGGGGAGUGAUGAAGGCAGUAGGGAAGUAAAGCGCUAUUAACCGGGAUGAUAAUGACGGUACCGGGAGAAUAAGCCACGGCUAACUCCGUG